rnacentral:rRNA from 1 species
GAUGAACGCUGGCGGCGUGCCUAAUACAUGCCAGUCGAGCGAACGGACGAGAAGCUUGCUUUUCUGACGUUAGCGGCGGACGGGUGAGUAACACGUGGAUAACCUACCUAUAAGACUGGGAUAACUUCGGGAAACCGGCGCUAAUACCGGAUAAUAUUUUGAACCGCAUGGUUCAAUAGUGAGAGACGGUCUUGCUGUCACUUAUAGAUGGAUCCGCGCUGCAUUAGCUAGUUGGUAAGGUAACGGCUUACCAAGGCAACGAUGCAUAGCCGACCGGAGAGGGUGAUCGGCCACACGGGAACGGAGCCACGGUCCAGACUCCUACGGGAGGCAGCAGUAGGGAAUCUUACGCAAUGGGCGAAAGCCUGACGGAGCAACGCCGCGUGAGUGAUGAAGGUCUUCGGAUCGUAAAACUCUGUUAUUAGGGAAGAACAGAUGUGUAAGUAACUGUGCACAUCUUGACGGUACCGAAUCAGAAAGCCCCGGCUAACUACGUG